GAGAGAUGGCCGCGGAGUCAGAGAAGACAGAAUCCUCCAGGGGCAGAGUCUGAAGAUAAUGUAAGCCCGAACUUGUCAGUGGUGUCUCAAUUAAAUCCUGCCAGGAGCGGCGUUGACUGGCUGUCUUGCGAAUAGGGGACACUGCACUGCUCCCGGUUACUUCCUGGCGAAACUCCUCAUGGGAAGACUGAGACUGAGAAGUCUCUGUGGAGGAAAGCCGGCUGUGUUUUGCUUCUACAUAAGGACUGGCACAACUCAUCUGUGGAAAAAAGCCUCUGAUCAAUCUCUACUGAAAUAACAGACCACUUCUACUGCCAAGGAACACAUUUGGUUUUCAUCAGACUAUGCUGUGUGUCUUUGAAAGAGCAACGCCAGAGAAGAGGCUACACAGAAAAUUGAGCCAACCUUCACAGUCACCACGGCCAAGAUCUUUGCAAGAAAUUCGUCUUUUGCUCUUGCCUGCUAUAGGACCUAAAGAUAACAAGGGAAUUUGGGUGAGAUGAUCCAGGUCAAUAUACUCUGCUCA